rnacentral:misc_RNA from 1 species
CAUGCAUUGAACUAACCCAUUUACUAUAAAAAAUUGGGUAUAUGAUACCUACAUAUAAUAGUUUCAAAUUUUCCUUUUUCACUACUUCCUUCAUAUUAAGUUUUAAUCUCCUUUGAUGUUCAAUGGUAGGUUUACUAUUUUCUUCUAUAAGUAUUCUACGCAUACAAAUGGAAGGGCUAAUCCCUUUAAGGUCUUUUAUUGUGUAUCCAAUAGUUUUACUAUGGGUCCUAAGUUCCCUUAAAAGUUUUUCCUCUUCUAAACUAGUUAGGCUAGUACUUAUUAUGACAGGAUAAUUAGAGUUUGAGUCUAGAAAUACAUACCUGAGAGUAGAAGGAGGAGGUUUCAGUUCUACCUAUUUUUUAGCCUCUUAUGGUUCAGCCUUGGGUUGUGACUCCUUUAGCUCUUCCACUUGUAGUGCUUGAACUAAGGGUAGAGGUGGGCUAGCUUCAAAAGAUUGUGCAUAGGCUGUAAUCUCUUUGUUAUCAUCAUCCACGGUGUUGUUGUGCACUAUGUAUGCUUCAAGAGGAUCUUUAGGAUAUCUCUUAUGGAAUUCCUCUUUUACUAGCUUGUCUAUAAUAUCAACCCUUAAGCACUCAUCGAUGUCUAGCUUAUGUUUCAUUGCUCUAAACAGGUUGAAUUCUACUUUCUCAUCUCCUACUUUGAGAGUUAACCGCCCACUUUUAACAUCUAUAAUAGCUUUGGUGGUUGCCAAGAAAGGUCUUUCUAAUAUAAUGGAAAUUUGAACAUCUUCUUCCAUCUCCAGGACAACAAAAUCAGCAGGGAUAAAAAAUUUGCCUUCCUUGAUGGGAAUGUUCUCUAAGAUGUGAAUUGGGUGCUUGACAGACUUGUUUGCUAGUUGCAAUGAGAUUGUAGUUGGUUUGAGCUCUCCCACAUUUAGCUUUUGGCAUAUUGAUAGGAGCAUCAGACUGACACUUGCACCUAGAUCACAAAGGGCCUUGUCUAUAUUCAUGUUGCUAAUAAGACAAGGUAUUGAGAAGCUUCCAAGGUCCUUAAGUUUUGGAGGGAGCUUGUUUUGCAAAAUGGCAUUGUAUUCCUUUGUCAGAGCAACUGCUUCAUAAUUCUCCAGCUUUCUCUUAUUUGAGAGGAUUUCCUUUAAGAACUUCUCAUAGGAUAACAUCUGAGAUAGUGCUUCAGUAAAAGGAAUGUUGAUGUAAAGUUUCUGUAAAACUUCUAAAAACUUUCAAAACUGCUUGUUCAAUUUUGCCUUCUGAAAUCUUUGAGGGAAAUGUAAAGGGGGAUGGUAUGGCUCGGGUAGCUUCUUUUUCUUAUUCUCCUCCUCUUCCUUGCCCUUUUCAGCUUCCUUCUCUUUGCCCUUUGUUUGGUUAUCAGAAUCACUAGAAGUUUCCUCCACUAAUUUUUUCUUUUCUUUUAGUUGUCAUUCUUCUAAAACUCCUCAAAGCAACUGCCUUGUAAUGCUCUUUAGAGUUCAUCUCUAGUUAACUUCGCAGCUUAUUAAUAGCUUUGCUUGAAGAACUAGCUUACUGAGUAAUUUGAUUCUCAAGCAUUUUGUUGUGAGUAGCCAGUUGGUCCAUUCCAAAAUCUAGUUGCUUUAUUAUUUCAUUCUGCUGUUGUUGUGCUACUAAAAAGCUUUCCAACAUGGAUUCCAUGGUCAACUUGGAUUCAGGUUAUUGAGGUUGAGGAGGUGGUGGUGGUUGUGCUAAGUUAUGUCCUCUAUUUUGAAAAGCAAGUGGUGGUGGCGAUGGCCGUGGUCUAUAUCCCUCCUGCUUGUUAAUGGCCUAAUUCUAUUGGUUUUGCGAGUUUGACCAUGGGAAGUUAGGUUGGUUCUCCAUCUAGGGUUAUAAGUAUUUGAGUAUGGGUUGUUAAUCUGCCUUUGGUUGAAGUUUUCUCUAUUAUUCAUAUAGUUCAUCUAUUCUAUGGAGGGCUUACUGUAGUUGCUCAAUUCUAAAGUCAUGUGGCCUCCUCUAUAAUUAUUGCAAUUUUAAUUGCUUGACCAUAUUACAUUGGUCUGCAUCUUGUUAAGUCUCCUUGUAAGUUGGUCAAAUUGAGCAUUGAUCAUACUUAAGGCACCCAAUUCUAGGAUCCUAACUGUUCUCCUCAUGUCUCCUCUCUCAUUUGACCAUUCAAAAUUAUGAUAUGCAAUCCUCUCCAGAAGUUCAAGAGCUUCAUUAAUUGUUUUCUCCUUGAGGUCUCCUCCUGCUGCUGAAUCA